UCUGGAAUCCAACAAGCCUUGGUUUGAACAUGGGCUCUACCCCUCCCUGCUCAUGAGCCCUUAAGCAAGGCACUUAACACUUUCAAACAGCCAUUUCCUCAUUUGAAGUAUGAGCCUAGUAAUGGUGACCUCAAAGCAGAGCAGGAAGCGAGGCCAGAGAUGACUUAUGGAUGUAGGCACCUUGGUAUGGUGUGUGGCAGGAGGUACAAAUGAAGAAUAGCCAUUUUUAUUUGGAGACACCAGCCAUUGAAACAUGAGUAUUUUUCCUCUUUGGAUAAAAUAUGCCUUCUAUUAAGUACCUAUUUUCAUUAAGUUCCAGAUUAUGUACAUUUUAACUCUACCACAUAUUUGCAAUUCAACGAAGCACAAUUAAAACAGUGACUUUGGGUUGUCCUGAUUAACUGUGGCCAUUUACACACUCAUGUCACUAGCAGAAAUCAAAAGGUAUUACAAAAAGAUACUCUGUAGACUUUCCAGUUUGGGGCAUCGCUCUAAUAUUUGCAAGUUGUUGUUUCUUUUUUAAAUUAUAUGAAAAGAAUUUUUGAUUCAAGAUAUGUUUAGUGUUUACAUGACACGGGUAAGGGCCAUCUUGAAAGCCCUUCCUUUUAAAAUAUAUUUUAUAUUCAGAUUCCCAUCGGAAGAAGACUAUAGAACUCAAGGUAAUCAAAAUGGCUUCAAGAGCCAAACAACAGGACUUAUGGACUCACCGUGAUGAUUAUCUAUGAAAGGUCCUUGAAGGCUAUCAAUAUUUACUCUACUUGACCACUGAAGCUCAAUGAACCCCUCCUAAGGAUAAAAGAGAAUCAUAUAUGCUAUUGCACUAUUUGGAUAUUAAAAAGUUUAAAUAUGGGCUAGAGAAAUUAGGAUAAACUAUUAUUACACCCACAGAUGUUUAAAAUUUACCAGUAAUGAACUCACAUGCCAGAACUUGAGAAAAAUGAAAGAAGGGAUGGCAUCAAAAUUUCUUAUUAUUUGUAAAAACGUCUUCUAGACAAGCCAAUUUAAUACAGACAGUGCAAAUAGCAAUGACUUGUCCAAGGAAAUAUUGAAACCCAUUAGGAAUGCACGUGCGCAAGCUGAUUCAACAAGGCAGUGUAUUUUUCUCAAAAACAUAAUAUCUUUUCUGCAUUGUGUGAGAUGAAGGUUAGAUUACAUUUCUUGCCUGUGCAGUAAUUCCCACAUCAUAAAUUCUGAUGAAAUUAUAUCAAUCUAUAAAGCAAAUGGAUGUCUGACCUACCAUCGCUUCCUACUUCUCAGCAAGAGAGGCUGCCAUACGAGCAAAUCCCCAGCUGCUCGGAGCGAUGCUAUUGCAGCAUGCCUUUGCCUGGGAACUGUUAUUAACUAUCCUGACCAGGAGCGGCUGCUCGAGUUUGUGGUUUCUGCUCUGAAUAUUAAACUUGGGCAUACAAGAGUCCUUAUUGUGGGGAGCACUUGGAAAUGGUAAUACAAAAUUGCUUUAUAUUUGCGGGAUUUGAUUGCUUUGGAUGAUACAGCCCUAGCUGGUGGGCCUCUCUCGCUGCUUGUAUUCCCAGAUUAUAAAUCAUUCCUUUGACAGGGUAUCUGCCACAACCAGGUCUCAGUUUCCGUGGUAUCAUUUUUUAUAUUACAACUGGCAACUGCUCUUCUGGGCUGUUCAUAUAAGUGACACAUUUUGCAUAAUAUAUGAGAAGGGGGUCAAAAUCAAAGCUAAUAAAAGCCUCCCCAACUUUUUCUUGUACAUGUCAAGGCAUCUCAGGCUUUGAGUCUUGAGAGGACUGGCUCGUGGAUAGAAGAUGUUUUUGUACGGUGUUGGUCAGCACUGUGUUUACCAGUCCUGAAAUUCAGUGUCACAAAAGUCAACAUGAAACAAAGCUGCAUCCACAAUUAGCCAGUGAGUUACUUAUAAUCAACCUCCAAGAACAAUAUAAGCUCUCCUUAAAAUUUAUGGAAAGAAGCAAAAGCACUUAAUGCAUCUUUCCUAAGAAAAGGUAGCUACAAGCGGGUGCCCUGUUUUGCUCUUCUGAGAACAAGAGUUUUUAACAUGAUGGUGUGCAGGUCUUCCUUCCAGUUCUGACAUUUUGGUGAGGUUACAAAGUGUCCUGGUGGAAUUCAAGCACCAUGAAUGCAGAUGAUAGUCAAAAACGUAUACUGCUGCUUUGUUGCAAACAAGUUUGACUUCAGGACUAAGACUUAGUCCUUAGAAGCUCUCUCGCAUUCCUGGAACCCAUGUACCAGCUAUAUAGGAGAACCCAUGUUCCUAAAGUUACACAUUUUAACUCCUAGAACAUAGCUGCCUGGUGGUUGUGCCUGAGAUGCCCUGCUUUUCCUCCAUGAGAAUUUGGGGAGAUAUUAAUUUGAAAGAUGAUACCAAAUAAGCCUAAUGAGAUCCAAGCAGCAGUGCAAAACUGUCCUCCAAAUUAUGCUCUUAUGAAUUUAUGAACGAAGGAAUCAAUAGUUUAAAAGACUGUUUGGAAAGCACCGCAGAAAAAAAAAAAAAAAAAAAAAGGAAAGCACCGCAGCCCAGAAAUAAGAAGCUCUCAGUCACUCCCCACAAGAGGCCUGCUUACUCUGGGUCUCCUUGGUUGCUCUUAUGAGAUCAAUGGUUCGUUGACAUUCCAUUAGUCAUAAUACAAAGCAGGAACUGUGAGUGGCCCAAGGCUCAACAUUAGCUGGAAGUGGUUUCUAAAUUAACCAAGUUCAGCAUUUCCUGAGCAAUUACUUGCCCUUCCCCACCCGCCUUCCUCCCCCAUCCAAAAGAGGAUUUGUAUAUAUUUUCAAAUAUAGCCAAAACAUAAUUGUAGGGUAACCAGAGAGAUCUCGUACAAAACUGCUGUUGGAAACCCACAGAUUCUGUCCCUGAGCUCAGUUAAUGUGCCGAAGUGGACUGUGUUCAUAUAUGUGGUCUGCACGUUUCAGAGCUCUUUGGGAAAUCAUCUCUUUCCAAAAUGCAGGAAAAAGAAGUUAACUAUGCAGAAGAAUUUUUUAUUGAUAACUGUUGAAGGCUGAAAUGGAUUCCUUUGAGAAUUUUACUUUGAUUAUUGGAUGUUAGAACUGAGAAGACUUCAUAGACAAUUUCAUUUUUCAGUUGAGAAAUGGCGACCCAGAAGAGUAAAAGGUCUUGCCCAAGUUCAUGGAGGCAGCAGCAGAAUUAGGACUAGAACCUAGAGACUCCUGGCUCCUGGACACGAACAGUGAUUUUCAAGCUUUCUUGCCUAUGAACUGCUGUAUGCAACAUGUUUUCCAUUAUAAUCCAGUCAAAUUUAUAUCCAAGCAACUGAAACAAAAUUUUGAGAAAUGAUUCUUACCUUUAUUAUGUGUGAUGUGCUCUGAUGCAUUCUGUUUUGUUCUUUUUUUCACUUUUUUCUUAACACAGGUCAGGAGCUACUUUGGCUAUAACCUACAGUUUUUAAAACAACGUUCUAGGUUAUGUUUGCUCAAAAAUGGCUUAUUAGAUUUCCUUUAAUAAAGACUUCCUACAUCCAAGCUCCGAUUUUACCUCCCCAUCCCAGAGACAGAGUGGAAUGGCAUUCCUCAUCCAAGCCCAGGAUUCUGCAGACUUGCUACAUUUGAUAGAAACAAAACUGACUCCUACAAUAAGUCAUGUUUUUCCUUAAUAUUAGUGGCCAGAAAAGCUUAAACGUCUGGAAAAAGACAACCCAAACAAUAGAAGAUCCAGAAGUGAUGAAAACCAACAAUUCUACUGAAAUAUGACUUGUUCAGCCAAUAGGAGGCCACUGUUCUGCAGAGAUGCUUAUUUGGGCUCUUGGCUGAAUUUUGGGGGCUCUUUGGCUUGGAAUAAAUGGUUUUGUUAAUAACUGCUCCAUAAAACUCAGUGUGGUGUUUGGCUUCUUAGGGUGACAGUAAACACCCCAAUUCAUCCGUCCAGUGGCACUAGCAGAGGAAAGGGUGGGUUUUGCUAAGACGCUAAGCCAGGCUGCUAAUCUACCAAAGAGUAAGGAUGGGAGAUCUCCUCUGGAGUGGUUUGUAGGGGUUUGCUUGUGGGUUUCCCAGCAGAACUCUCAGGUGGUCCGUACCUCCAAUCCUCUCUGUAGCAAAACACAUGAAAUCCUAGUAUCGAUACAUCCACCGUUCAACAUGUGGCGAGUGUUCCUUCCUCGCCAGGGGAAAGCACAGAGCCAGUGAAUCUGAAUGGCAGUAGAAAACUGCGAGUCCCCCAGAUGCCAGCAACAGGAAACAUGGAAGCAGUUCUCAGAAGACAGACACUCAACGUGGGCCAACUCCUGGCCCGUGAUGAUAUGCACACUCCCCGUCUGAAGUGGCUGCGAGCCAGGUGCGUGACCGCAGCAAGCAGGAACUCCUUUUGUCCACUUCCUCCACGGGACAAGGCAUGGACCUGCAUCUCAUCAGUUCGCAGAAUGCUUGAUUCCAACCCCGGGCUCAUCCUUACAGACUGGGGAUGGAACAACUUAGCUUCUUUUACUGGAAAUUCCCAUGCCGCCAUCCUAGGGUAAUAUGGAGCCAGCCAAACCUUGUUUUUCACUCAGGGCUGAUUUCUGGCACAAUUCCCAUUGCAGGACUCCAGCACUGACAGAGGUUAAUGGGUACCAUUUAGCCACUCUCGGCAGCAGUGGUUUGAUCUUCUUGGCUCUGAUACUCUUCCUCCUCUUGGCACGAGAAAAUUCAGCUUUUGCCCUUUAUCUUGUUAUCCAAGAGCCUGAAUGCCCAUGACAGCCGUGGAUGCAGAUGCUGCCCCUUCUAAGUCCUUGGCAGAGCAGUAAAAUUCAGACCAACGCAGGCAGUGUGCAUUGAGCUCUUUCUUUUUCCCUACACAGCCAGCUGGCCUGUUGCUGAAACCAAGACCAAUCAGAAAAGACACACACGCAUAUGUGGCUGGUGCUGCCUUGUUUUCUCCUCCACCGCGAGACACAGAGGAACAGGGCCUGGAGGAAGCAGUUUCUCACUUGCAGUAAGCAAAGGCGAUUAAAUCUGCCCUGAAUCCAAAGAACCCUCGACUACCUUGAGUUCCUAAAUCCCGAGAGUGGCAUCGGCCCACGCAGUUACACACAAACAUGACUUUGGAAGAAAAAUGCCGACGUAAACUUGACUGCCUCUUGGCAAACAAGUGCACAUCGGUUCCAAUUACAAACAAUGGAUCACUCUCUUCUGGAGCACCUACUACUUUUUUAAAACCCACUCAGAAGGCUCCUGACUCAGCCUCUGAUCCCACAGCAGAGAAGUAGGGAUGAGAGGAGCACACAGAGGUGGGGGCCUGCAGUCAGCAUGGACCAUACACAGUGUGAAGUCCUAUAACUCCUGAGGAUGCCUCAAGUCACUAUAGAGUCCAGCACCAUUCCACGCCUCUACUGAGUGCACAUGGGCUUAUGGGGGCACUUAGUACGGGCAAUUUCUCCUCCAGCACUGGGAUAAAUUGCUGUGACUUUGGCUGAGCACCACCAAAAAAAAAAGUAGUUGGUUUGCAUUUAGGAACACAAAAUGUAUUUCUUUUAACCCAAGAUUCAUACUCGAAGAAGCAAGAACUUCACCAGGACCCACUGAGAGCAUGUGUCACUCUGGCAGAUGCCAUGGGGGGAGUGGCACACAGAAUUGCUAAAGCAGGCAAACACAUUCAUGACUCAAUUUCUCUAGGAGCACCCUCCUGCCACCCACCUCUCUUCAGCCUUUUCUCUCCGAGCACAGAGCAGAAUUUCCCCAUCUUUGGGAAUAAAUCUUUAGUCCCCAAGAUAGCUGGGAAGGUGGCUCAACUUCCUGUUUAGAAUCCCUGCCCCUUUCCCCACCAUGAAGAUCCCAGAAUUAUUCCGGAAUAAUUCCCAUUUUGACCUAUAUGUUUGUUCCAGAAGUUCAAAAAGUUUUGGAUGAGGAUAUUCAGAAAUCAAAAUUGGACUCCUGGAACUCGCAGGGCUGGACUGAGAGCUAAGGGGCUUCGUGGGGAGCUCAGGGCCUCAGUUUAACACCUCUGAAAUGGGCCUAGUAGCACCCUUUGCUGUGGAAAGGGUGGAAUCAGCUUAAUUAAUUGGCUUCCUCAGAGCAAAAAAUGUGUCAUCCUCUUCAAAACCUUAAGAUGAAAGGUGCAAAAUGGUGCCAUUGUUUCAUAAAUUGCUACAUCAAACAUGGGACGCCCUAUAAACCUACAACAGGACAAUGCCACCUUUACAAAGGCCAGGAUUUUGUCCUGGUUUGCUCACUGCUGCCUCCCCAGCACCUAGAUCAGUGCCUGACACAUGAAGGUGUCCAAUAAAUACUUGUUGGAUGAAUAAAUGAAUGACAAGUUCUUCCACAUACAGCGCCACCAAGACAACAAAACCAAAACCCAUGAACAACAUCUACUGAAGAAAACUAAGUAAAGGUAGCCCCAUAAACUCCAAACCAUUAAAUAUUUAAGAGCUACCAAAUCUAUGCAGCAUCUGUGUAGGAAAAAGCACAAGGAAACUCUGGGUUAUUGAAUGGAUUGACUUGAGGACAGAAGAAUCCCUAAAUCCUGACUCUGACCAGGAAACGGGGCAGGUCAACUUGAAACAAUUGAAUAUGCAACAGACUUUUUUACUAA